AGCUGAUUGUUUUAACUUUUUGUGAAUUGACCACAAAAGCCUUCGCCGCCGGCGUUGCUGUCUUUUGGUUUUUUACACGCCAUCUGGUUCCACUUUCCGGCGACGCUCUUCUCCUCUCCUCUCCAGAUAUUCUCGUACGAACUCAGGAGUUCACUACGUGAGACAUGUGUGCAUGUGAAAUCGAUAAAUAAUUGUCAAUGGAAGCUUCGGCAGAUCUGGAUCAACCGCGGAGUCGUUCGAAGGAGGUGGAGCCGUCUGCAGAACAGGUUAGAGAUGGGAACUCUUCUCUGAGCUCCGGUGAAGUUUCUGUGGAGUUCGAGAAAGAUGAUGCUGGGGUCACUGCUGCUAUGGUCGAUAGUAGACCUGUCAACACUGUUCUGUUCUCCAAUGGCGCCGGGAAGUGUUCAGAUGAUAUUGCCGGGGCAGGUAUGUUUAGGGCAAAUACUAUGCCGGCAGAAAUUUCGAACCACGUGAAGAUAGAGCCACCUCUGGUGGUAAAACGAUCCAAGACGGAGAGGCAAAGUCAUUGCAACAUACGGCCGGAAGAGGCUGCUCAAAUUUUUGACGACCGGAUGUCUGCACAGAAGAAACUCCAAUUGUUGAACAGAAUUGCUACUGUUAAAAAUGAUGGUACAGUAGAAUUUGAAUUAUCUGGAGAUGUUACACCUGAAACUCUUGGAGUUGGAACUGAAAGCAUACAUGGUCAAGUGGAUGAGGAGCCCAUUGAUGAAACAGAACUUCCAUACAUUCCUCCAUUGCAAAUUGUGAUGCUUAUAGUUGGAACACGUGGAGAUGUACAGCCAUUUGUUGCCAUUGGAAAAAAAUUGCAGGAUUUUGGCCAUCGUGUUAGAUUGGCUACUCAUUCCAAUUUCAAAGAGUUUGUACUGACAUCUGGGUUAGAAUUCUAUCCGCUUGGUGGGGAUCCUAAGGUUCUUGCUGAAUAUAUGGUGAAAAAUAAAGGAUUUCUACCUUCUGGACCUUCAGAGAUACCUGUACAAAGAAGUCAGAUGAAGGACAUAAUUAGCUCUUUGCUUCCUGCUUGUAGAGAGCCUGAUAUUGAUUCUGGGAUUUCGUUCAAGGCUGAUGCAAUCAUUGCCAAUCCUCCUGCAUAUGGACAUACGCAUGUUGCGGAAGCACUGAAAAUACCGAUUCAUAUAUUUUUCACGAUGCCCUGGACGCCAACUGUCGACUUCCCACAUCCUUUAUCGCGUGUUAAGCAAUCAGCAGGAUACAGAUUAUCAUAUCAGAUAGUUGAUUCCUUGAUUUGGCUAGGAAUAAGAGACAUGAUAAAUGAUGUUAGGAAAAAAAAGUUAAAGCUGCGACCAGUCACAUAUUUGAGUGGAUCUCAAGGCUCUGACUCUGAUAUUCCUCAUGGAUAUAUCUGGAGUCCCCACCUUGUUCCUAAGCCCAAAGACUGGGGACCAAAGGUUGAUGUUGUUGGAUUUUGCUUCCUUGAUCUUGCAUCGAAUUAUGAGCCACCUGAGUCACUUGUGAACUGGUUAAAAGCUGGUCCAAAGCCUAUAUAUAUUGGAUUCGGCAGUCUUCCUGUUCAAGAACCAGCAAAAAUGACUCAAAUUAUUGUUGAAGCUUUAGAAAAAACUAAACAAAGAGGCAUUAUUAAUAAAGGCUGGGGUGGCCUUGGGAGCUUGGCAGAAGCAAAAGACUUUGUGUAUCUGUUGGACAAUUGUCCUCAUGACUGGCUGUUCCCACAUUGUGCUGCAGUGGUGCAUCAUGGUGGCGCUGGUACAACAGCUGCUGGUCUUAAAGCUGCGUGUCCAACCACUAUCGUCCCAUUCUUUGGCGACCAACCUUUCUGGGGGGAGAGAGUACAUGGCAGAGGUGUUGGACCUCCUCCGAUUCCAGUAGACGAUUUUUCUCUCAAAAAGUUAGUUGAUGCAAUUGAAUUUAUGCUGGAUGAGAAGGUGAAGGAGCGAGCCGUAGAACUUGCUAAGGCCAUGGAAAAUGAAGAUGGGGUUGAAGGAGCUGUGAAAGCAUUCUUGAAACAUUUUCCAUGCAAGAAAAUCGAGCCCGAUCCAGAGCCUAGAGAGUCCAGCCCUUUCUCAAUGCGAACAUGCUUUGGUUGCUCCUAAAUUUGUGAGCAACAUUCUUCUCCUCCAAUUUACAUUAUUCUUUACUAGAGCUUGAAACCGCCGUUCGAUUUUAGUAUACAUUUAUCCUUUCCCAGAACGCCAAGCGCGACUGCUUCCAGGAAACUAUUUUAUAGACAGUGAGUGAUUCAUGUUGUGUAAUUAUGAGAGUUUCAUAAACUUGUUGUGCCUGUAACCUUGCUUGCCUUCAUGUAUGAAGAUCUGCUAAAAAUUGUUGAUGCUUCCUAGCUUUGAAUUCGAUGGUUAUGAAAUGGUUCUUCCUCCUAUGUUGUCCUUUAUAUCUGAGGUUCAAAAAUGUGAUCAUCCCUUGAUGUCAAAAAGUGGCCCAAAAUGGGCCAUGAUGUGUAAGGUGGGGGCCACAACCCCCUACUGCUACUGCUACUACACAUUUUAAGCCUGCAAGGGAAAA